GAUUCGUUUUAAGCGAUGGGGGGACGCAGUAGGAUAGGCGAAGCGUGCUGUUGGAGUGCACGUCCAAGCAGUGAGAUUGAGUGUUAGGCAAAUCCGGCACUCUUAAGAUUGAGCUGUGAUGGGGAGAGGAACUUGUUCCUCGAGUCGUUGAUUUCACACUGCCGAGAAAAGCCUCUAGCUAGAAUAACGGUGCCCGUACCGCAAACCGACACAGGUAGUCAAGAUGAGAAUUCUAAGGUGAGCGAGCGAACUCUCGUUAAGGAACUCGGCAAAAUGACCCCGUAACUUCGGGAGAAGGGGUGCUCUUUGAGGUUCACGCUUCGAAGAGCCGCAGUGAAUAGGCCCAAGCGACUGUUUAUCAAAAACACAGGUCUCUGCUAAACCGUAAGGUGACGUAUAGGGGCUGACGCCUGCCCGGUGCUGGAAGGUUAAGAGGAGUGGUUAGCGCAAGCGAAGCUACGAAUCGAAGCCCCAGUAAACGGCGGCCGUAACUAUAACGGUCCUAAGGUAGCGAAAUUCCUUGUCGGGUAAGUUCCGACCCGCACGAAAGGCGUAACGAUUUGGGCACUGUCUCAACGAGAGACUCGGUGAAAUCAUAGUACCGGUGAAGAUGCCGGUUACCCGCGACAGGACGGAAAGACCCCGUGGAGCUUUACUGUAGCCUGAUAUUGAAAUUCGGUACAGUUUGUACAGGAUAGGUAGGAGCCUUAGAAGCGUGAGCGCUAGCUUACGUGGAGGCAUUGGUGGGAUACUACCCUAAUUGUAUUGGAUUUCUAACCCGCAGCACUUAUCGUGCUGGGAGACAGUGUCAGGCGGGCAGUUUGACUGGGGCGGUCGCCUCCUAAAGAGUAACGGAGGCGCUCAAAGGUUCCCUCAGAAUGGUUGGAAAUCAUUCAUAGAGUGUAAAGGCAUAAGGGAGCUUGACUGCGAGACCUACAAGUCGAGCAGGGUCGAAAGACGGACUUAGUGAUCCGGUGGUUCCGCAUGGAAGGGCCAUCGCUCAACGGAUAAAAGCUACCCCGGGGAUAACAGGCUUAUCUCCCCCAAGAGUUCACAUCGACGGGGAGGUUUGGCACCUCGAUGUCGGCUCAUCGCAUCCUGGGGCUGUAGUCGGUCCCAAGGGUUGGGCUGUUCGCCCAUUAAAGCGGUACGCGAGCUGGGUUCAGAACGUCGUGAGACAGUUCGGUCCCUAUCCGUCGUGGGCGUAGGAAAUUUGAGAGGAGCUGUCCUUAGUACGAGAGGACCGGGAUGGACAUACCUCUGGUGUACCAGUUGUCGUGCCAACGGCAUAGCUGGGUAGCUAUGUAUGGACGGGAUAAGUGCUGAAAGCAUCUAAGCAUGAAGCCCCCCUCGAGAUGAGAUUUCCCAACUUCGGUUAUAAGAUCCCUCAAAGAUGAUGAGGUGAAU
rnacentral:rRNA from 1 species